GAAAACCGAGGUGGUGUGGGAUGGGCCCGCGUCUGAUUAGCUAGUUGGCGGGGUAACGGCCCACCAAGGCGACGAUCAGUAGCCGGCCUGAGAGGGUGGACGGCCACAUUGGGACUGAGACACGGCCCAAACUCCUACGGGAGGCAGCAGUGGGGAAUAUUGCACAAUGGGGGAAACCCUGAUGCAGCGACGCCGCGUGAGCGAAGAAGUAUUUCGGUAUGUAAAGCUCUAUCAGCAGGGAAGAAAAUGACGGUACCUGACUAAGAAGCCCCGGCUAAAUACGUGCCAGCAGCCGCGGUAAUACGUAUGGGGCAAGCGUUAUCCGGAUUUACUGGGUGUAAAGGGAGCGCAGGCGGCUUGGCAAGUCUGAUGUGAAAGGCUGGGGCUCAACCCCAGGACUGCAUUGGAAACUGUUAGGCUGGAGUGUCGGAGAGGUAAGCGGAAUUCCUAGUGUAGCGGUGAAAUGCGUAGAUAUUAGGAGGAACACCAGUGGCGAAGGCGGCUUACUGGACGACAACUGACGCUGAGGCUCGAAAGCGUGGGGAGCAAACAGGAUUAGAUACCCUGGUAGUCCACGCCGUAAACGAUGAA
rnacentral:rRNA from 1 species